UGCAGUCAUGUAUACUUGCGUGUAUUCUUUAUUAUAGUCUACACUCUGAAAUGGCUGCUAAUACUAAACAUGUAGCUCAUGGGCCUCUGUGCUCUGACUUGUGAACAUGGAGGAUAAUAAUAUGCUACGUACAAAA